GCGGGCGUGGCGGAACUGGUAGACGCGCGGGAUUCAAAAUCCCGUUCUGGUGACAGAGUGAGAGUUCGAGUCUCUCCGCCCGCACCA
rnacentral:tRNA from 1 species